GCACUGGUGGUUCAAUGGUAGAAUUCUUACCUUCCAUGCUGAGGCCUGGGUUUGAUUCCUGGCCAAUGCA
rnacentral:tRNA from 1 species